UACGUAGGGGGCAAGCGUUGUCCGGAAUCAUUGGGCGUAAAGCGCGCGUAGGCGGCCCUGUAAGUCCGUUGUGAAAGUCAAAGGCUCAACCUUUGAAAGCCGAUGGAUACUGCAGGGCUAGAGUCCGGAAGAGGCGAGUGGAAUUCCUGGUGUAGCGGUGGAAUGCGCAGAUAUCAGGAGGAACACCAGUAGCGAAGGCAGCUCGCUGGGACGGUACUGACGCUAAGGCGCGAAAGCGUGGGGAGCGAACAGG
rnacentral:rRNA from 1 species